rnacentral:rRNA from 1 species
GACGAACGCUGGCGGCGUGCUUAACACAUGCAAGUCGAACGGAAAGGCCCUGCUUUUGUGGGGUGCUCGAGUGGCGAACGGGAGAGUAACACGUGAGUAACCUGCCCUUGACUUUGGGAUAACUUCAGGAAACUGGGGCUAAUACCGGAUAGGAGCUCCUGCUGCAUGGUGGGGGUUGGAAAGUUUCGGCGGUUGGGGAUGGACUCGCGGCUUAUCAGCUUGUUGGUGGGGUAGUGGCUUACCAAGGCGUUGACGGGUAGCCGGCCUGAGAGGGUGACCGGCCACAUUGGGACUGAGAUACGGCCCAGACUCCUCCGGGAGGCAGCGCUGGAGAAUAUUGCACUAUGGGCUGAAGCCUGAUGCAGCCACGCCGCGUGCGGGAUGACGGCCUUCGGUUUGUAUUCCGCUUUCGCCUGUGACGAAGCGUGAGUGACGGUAAUGGGUAAAGAAGCACCGGCUAACUACGUG